UCCAGCAGUAGUCAGCCGUCCAGACAGAUAUAUAGCUGUGACGGUGUUACACUGCUGGGAGAGCAUUGUCUUGUCUUCCCCUGUUACCCUUUGUUGCUGUUCUGGUGGCAAGGGGCACUGGUGCAAGUCUGACUGUGCUUCCUUGAGAGUGUGCUGAGCAUUCACUUUGGCUGCUUGGUUUUAGUCUGGGAGCAGACAGU
ensembl:snoRNA SNORA74 Small nucleolar RNA SNORA74